rnacentral:tRNA from 1 species
GACUCAUUAGCUUAGUUGGUUAGAGCAUUGAGCUAAUAACUUGAAAGUCAUAGGUUUGAGUCUUGCUUGGGUCA